rnacentral:rRNA from 1 species
UGGGGAAUAUUGGGCAAUGGGCGCAAGCCUGACCCAGCAACGCCGCGUGAAGGAUGAAGGUUUUCGGAUUGUAAACUUCUGUCGCGAGGGACGAAGAAUGACGGUACCUCGUAAGAAAGCCCCGGCUAACUACGUGCCAGCAGCCGCGGUAAUACGUAGGGGGCAAGCGUUGUCCGGAAUGACUGGGCGUAAAGGGAGUGUAGGCGGCUUAUCAAGUUAGAUGUGAAAUCCCGCGGCUUAACCGCGGAACUGCAUCUAAAACUGGUGAGCUGGAGUGCAGGAGAGGUGAGUGGAAUUCCUAGU